GAUGAGGAAGGAGGAGAAAAAUAGUUACACUCCAACGAGGGCGGUGGCUGCGAUAAAGGGCAAAGGAAAGGUCGUGAUCAAAAAAAGAUUGUAGAGAAAAAAAAAAGAAUAAUAAAAAAUAAAAAUAAAAAAUAUAUUUUUCCAACAGAAAUGAUUAAAAAUUAUAGAAGAAGGAAGAAGAAGAUGAAAUUAUAUUGUUAAAAUAAAGUUACACUAUUUUAAAAAAAAUUUGCACUGUUUUAAAUAAAAGUUGCACUCUUUAAGACAAAAAUUACACUCUUUGAGAUGAGAGUUACACUCUUUAGGCGAAAACUGCACUCUUUGGGUAAAAUUUACACCAUUUUUCUUUCUCUUCUUCUUCAUCCUCCUUCCCUAUCCUCAUUUGCCCACCACCGGAGAAGAAGUGCUCGUAUCAAGGCGCGACGACGUCGAGAGGCAUGCCCUCGUUCUCCACCGCCCUCGCCAUGGAAGGCAGCGGAGGAUGGUGACGAAGGCUACGGAGCCAGAGAAGCCGACGGGGAUGUCGCGGGUGGGCUCACUCACCUCCUUCGCCAUCGUCGACGCGGUGUCGUACCCGAUGUAGCUCAGGUACUCCAUGGCCGCCCCAUUGAACAUGCUGCCGAUGCCAUACAGCAUGAACCCGCCCGCAUCCUUUACCUGCCGUACAGGAUGAACGCAAUGUGUAUCGUCAUCAACACCAUGUUCAGAACCGACUCUCUCGAAAAAAGAAAAAAAAAAGAGCCACCUUUGAACCAAAGUAACAGAGCGCAGCCACAGAUCUCUUUAAUAUACAAAACUAAAAGGAUUUUGACAAAAAACAAAAGAAACUCAUUGUUAGAUAAUUUGUCAGAGAAAUGGAGAAAAAUAAUGUGAAAUUCGAAUUACCCAUAUGCCCAAUCAGAGGGAGCUAAUAGGAUCAUAGAAAAAGGGGCCACCUUUGAACCAGAGAACCAGAGCAGGGUGUCAGGAAUUAGAAAUUUUCUCCGAGAUUUUCCUUUGUAAUCACCCAAACUCCAAAGCGGAUAUCUGUCAGAGGUUUUGCCUGGAUCUUCUAGAAGCAUCUCUGUAGACCUUGAGACUGAUGGCGCGGGAAACGAGGAGUCUCUUAGAGUUUCUAUGUUUCUAGAAGGCUUAUUUAUUAGGACUCUUGGCAACUCGUAGUCUUCCCUUUUGGCUUGUAUCUUUAUGCCACUUGGCAUCUUUCCAUUUGCUUUAUAGGCGGCAAGUGGCCUUUAAAUAGUUGUGGCCUCCACCCCCCUCAACUUAGAAUCCUCAUUUGUAAUCUCUACUUCAAAGAAAUAGAAUAGCUUUAUUCAUCUCUCUCUUGUUCUUAGUCUAAAGCGAGCAAGUCCUAACUUAGCAAGCAUAGAGGUAGGCUUGCCCAUCUUCGAGCAGGAAGGCGGGCGUCACACGGGCUUUGCGAAUAGAACCGCUAAGUCCGUGACAGUUGGUAUCAGAGUCGGUUCGAGCAAGGAGCCAUGUCGUCAUCCGAUGCGGGAGUUGUCGACGUUGGGGGUGACCUUCCAAAGCAGCCCUCCAAAUGGAGCAAGAGCAGAGACACGCGAAUCACGAGGGAUUCUGCGUCGUUGGAGGACCGCCUUGCGCUGUUGGAGGACAUAAUAUUGAAAAUGGGUGAAAGGUACACCGAAAUGGCUCAUACCUUUAACUCUUUUAACGACGAGGUCUGUAGCAUGGAGGAAAGCGUCGCUACUGCCAUGGCGACCUUUCAAGGCAAAUUUGAGAAGCUUCAGGGCAACAUGACUCGUCGUGACGAGAAGCGAAUGAACCUGAUCAAGGAGCUCAUUGCUCGAGUCGACGAGGUCGAGGACCUCAAGACGAGAGUAACUAUCCUUGAGAAGGCACUAGCUUGAGGCAUUGAGACGCAGAAGGAGUACACCCCAAAGAUCCGCGUCCAUGAACCCCAAUGCUUCAAGAAUACGCGCGAUGAGAAGGAAAUAGACAAUUUCCUUUGGCACAUGGAGCGCUAUCUCAAGAUGCUGCGGUUGGAGGACAAGGAUGACAAGGUCCAGACCGCUUCCAUGUACCUUGUCGACAACGCAAUGCUGUGGUGGCUGCGGCAUUUCGCAGAGGCCGCGAAGGGCCAAUGCGAGCUAAAGACUUGGGAGGACUUCGUGCGCGAACUGAAGGCACAGUUCUACUUAGAGCACGUCGAGUAUUUGGCGCGGAGACAACUUCGACGGCUCAAGCACAUGGGAACCCUCAAGGAGUACGUCAAGGAGUACUCUAAGCUGAUGCUUGCCAUCACUAGCAUGGCUGAGGAGGAUAGACUAUUCUUUUUCCUCAACGGUCUCCAACCAUGGGCUAAUAAGGAGCUCGUGGCGAGAGACGUCAAGGAUGUAAGCUCCGCUAUUGCUCUGGCCGAAAAACUGCCAGAGUAUAAGAAGCCGAACUUUACUCGUGGCAAGCCACUUAAGGCGGGCAAGGCCAAAGAUAGGGGAGACCGCCGCGAGCAGCGAGAUCACAAGGGCCAAGAGAGAAAGGGCCCUCCGCAGAAGAAGAUCUCUUGCUUCGUCUGCGGAGGUGAUCAUUGGACAAGAGAUUGCCCAAAGAAGAAAAUCGCCAAUGCCAUCAAAGCCGAGGAGGGCCAGGAUCAAGCGGAGACAAAGAUGCGCGCUGUGGCUUGUCAGCGCGAUCUAGGGGUAGGCGAGCAGUAGCAAGUCGCUCAAGAAGAAGCUUCUGUUCGUGGAUGUGACCCUCAAUGGAAGGGGUACUCGAGCGCUCGUGGACACUGGAGCGACCUACAACUUCAUCACCGAGUCUGAGGCAAAACAGCUGGGCCUCGCACUCGAGAAGGACACGAGCAAGAUCAAGGCUGUCAACUCGGUGGCACAACUUGUCGCGAGGUUAGCCAAAGGGGUGACGAUUGCUGUAGGACCCUAGACGGGUACAACAAACUUCACCGCCGCGACCAUCGAUGACUUCAAAGUCAUCCUCAGCAUUGACUUCCUCGCUUCAUCGAAAGUGGUCCCGAUGCCGCACCUCGGGGUCUUGAGCAUUAUGGAGGAGGCGACCCUGUGCAUGGUCUUGGUGAGCCGCAGCGAGCCAGCGGCAACCCACACCCUCUCCGCUCUACAAUUGUGGAAAGGGGUGAAGCGUGGAGAAAUCACUUAUCUUGCGGCCAUCUACGAGGUGAGCGGAGAUGACCUUAGGGAGGAGGGCCCUCCAGCAGUGAUCGAUGCAGUCCUGGGGGAGUUCAAGGACGUCAUGCCUCAGGAGUUGCCCAGGAGACUUCCACCUAGGCAAGAGGUAGACCAUGCGAUUGAGCUCGAGCCAGGAGCUAAACCACCAGCGAAGACACCAUACCGUAUGGCCCCGCCAGAGCUCGAGGAGUUGCAACGUCAACUGAAAGACCUCCUCGAUGCGAGCUUUAUCAAGCCGUCAAAAGCACCCUACGGAGCACCAGUCUUGUUCCAAAGAAAGAGCGACGGAAGCCUGUGGCUCUGUAUUGACUACAAAGCGCUCAACAAGGUGACGGUAAAGAAUAAGUACCCUAUUCCCCUAGUUGCUAAUUUGUUCGAGUUCUUCACCAAAUUGGACCUUCGCUCGGGGUACUACCAAAUCAGGAUUGCGGAGGGCGAUGAGGAGAAAACGACAUCCGUGACGAGAUAGGGAGCCUAUGAGUUCCUUGUCAUGCCAUUCGGUCUGUCGAAUGAGCCGAUGACCUUCUGCACCUUGAUGAACAAGCUAUUCUACCCCUAUCUCGACCGCUUCGUUGUAUUGUACCUCGACGACAUCGUCGUGUACAGCAACACUUUGGAGGAGCACGUCGAGCACCUGCGGACGAUCUUCCAAGUGCUGCGGAAAAACCAACUCUAUGUCAAGAAGGAGAAGUGCACCUUUGCGAAAGAGGAUGUGCACUUUCUUAGCCAUUGGAUAGGCUGAGGACAACUCCACAUGGACCAGCAGAAAGUGCGGGCGAUCUGCGAGUGGGAGGCGCCUACGAAGGUGUCCGAGCCAUGAUCCUUUCUCGGGCUCGUCAACUAUUAUCGCGGUUUCAUCGUGGGCUACUCCGCUCGGGCACCGUUCACGAAUUUAUUGAAGAAAACCCACCCAUGGGAUUAGACCCCUCGGUGCGCGAAGGCAUUCGAGGACUUGAAGCGGGCAGUGACAGAGGACCUAGUGCUGCGUUUUCCCGACUGCAGCCGCCCAUUCAAGGUGCAUACUGACGCCUCGGACUUCGCUAUUGGCGGUGUCCUCAUGCAGGACGGGCACGCCAUCGCCUACGAGAGUCGCAAGCUCAACGACACUGAGCGACGAUAUACGGUGUAGGAGAAGGAGAUGACCGCCGUAGUGCACUGCCUCAGGGCUUGGCGGCACUAUCUCCUUGGAAGCAAGUUCAUUGUGCGGAUGGACAAUGUCGCAACGAGCUACUUUCUCACUCAAAAGAAGCUGUCACCCAAGCAGGCGAGGUGGCAGGACUUACUGAUGUACAAACCCAGGAAGGAGAACCAUGUAGCUGACGCACUCAGUCGCAAGGCGGAAUUAGCAGCGGUGUGCCAGCUCCAAGGCGCGAUCAGGGAGCGAAUCCGCGAAGGGACUUACGAAGACCUUAUGGCCCAAGGACUCGUGCGACUUGUCAAGGAGGGCAAGGCACACCGGUUUUGGCUUAACGAUGGGCUGCUCCUCACCAAGAGGCGUCGCGUCUAUGUGCCUAUGUGGGGCAAUCUUCGUCGUGAGCUCAUGAAGGAGUGUCAUGACUCUAAUUAGGCUGGACAUCCAAGGCAGAAGCGGAUCAUGGCGCUACUCGAGGCCGCCUACUAUUGACCUUACAUGCACGACGACGUGGAGGCAUACGUGUGGACCUGUCUUGUGUGUAAGCAAGACAAGGUGGAGCGCCAGAAGCCAGGGGGCCUCUUCGAGCCCUUGCCUACACCGACGCGUCCGUGGGAGAGUAUUUUCAUGGACUUUAUCUCCACCUUGCCCAAGGUGGGGGCGUUGGGUCCAUCAUCGUGGUGGUGGACCAAUUCUUCAAGUACGGGACCUUCAUAGCGGCACUAGCGGAUUGUAUGGCGACAGAAGUGGUGCGACACUUCGUGAGCAAUGUGGUGAAGCUUUGGGGCAUCCCCGAAAGCAUUGUGAGUGAUCGCGACCCUAGGUUCACAGGCAAGUUCUGGACAGAGGUGUUUCGGAUCUUGGAGCCAGAGUUGCUCUUCUUCACUAGCUUCCACCUGCAGGCGAAUGGUUAGAUGGAACUGGUGAACGCCUUACUGGAGGAGUACUUGCGACACUAUGUCAAUGCCAACCAGAAGGACUGGAUGCAUCAUCUAGAUGUAGCCCAGUUCUCCUACAAUCUGCGACAGAGCGAGUCAACAAACCUUAGCCUGUUCGAACUGGCAACAAGGAAGCAACCACUCACUCCGCAUUCUACUGCUGCGGGCGAGCAGGGCCGCAGCCCUAUGGCCCUCCAAUUCACCUCUCACUUGCAGGAGAUAGGGGACGUUGCGAGGGCCUAUGUCGAGAAAGCGGCCUGCCGAAUGAAAAAAGUGGGCCGAUACAAAGCGGCGACCCUUGGAGUUUGCCGAGGGGAACCGACUCCUGAUCAAGCUGCAACCACAACAGUUCAAGGCUUUUCACAAAGUGCACCGUAGGCUUUUGCAAAAGUACGAAGAACCUUUCACUAUCGUGAAGAGAGCGGGCAAGGCAGCCUACAAACUGCAACUCUCCGCCAACUUGAAAAUUCAUCAUGUCUUUCACGCUAGCUGCCUGCGGCCCUACCAUGAAGACGCUGAGGGCCCAAACAGAGGCGUGUCGCAACGUGCUCUCGCCACCAUGACCACUGCCAUCGACAAAGAGGUCGAAGCCUUGCUGGACACUCGCACCAUUCGGCGUCGCGGAGUCCCGAGGAGCGUCGAGUACCUUGUCAAGUGGAAGAACCUCCCGCAUGGCGAAGCAAGCUGGGAGAAGGCUGACACUCUCUGGAAGUAUCAUAAGCUGAUCGAUGACUUCGAACACCAGCGCGCGACGAGGGUGUCUGCGCAUUAGGUGGGGGAGGUUGUCAGGACUUAGAAAUUUUCUCCAAGAUUUUUCUUUGCAAUCACCCAAACUCCAAAGCUGAUAUCUAUCGAAGGUUUUGCCUGGAUCUUCUAGAAGCAUCUCUGCGGACCUCGAGAUUGAUGGCGCGGGAACCGAGGAGUCUCUUAGAGUUUUUAUGUUUCUAGAAGACUUAUUUAUUAGGACUCUUGGGAGCUCGUAGCCUCCCCUUUUGGCUUGUAUCUUUAUGCCACUUGGCAUCUUUCCAUUUGCUUUAUGGGCGGCGAGUGGCCUUUAAAUAGUUAUGGCCUCCACCCCCUCAACUUAGAAUCCUCAUUUGUAAUCUCUACUUCAAAGUAAUUGAAGAGUUUUCUUCAUCUCUCUCUUGUUCUUACUCUAGGGUGAGUAGGUCCUAACUUAGCAAGUAGAGAGGUAGGCUUGCCCAUCUUCGAGCAGGAAGGCGGGCGUCGCACGGGCUUUGCGAACAGAAUCGCUAAGUCCGUGACAAGGGGUUGUGUAUUACACUUGUCGUGACCGACCAUCAAAGUAGGAGCAUAGUAAUGAAAAUUAAAAUAAAUUAUUAUUGACCCGGGUGAAGGAUAUGGACGUCGCAGCGGUUCUUGCGCAUGGUGGAGGAGGAGGGCAUGCCCCUCAAUGUUGUCGCGCCCUGGUACAAGCACUUCUUCUCCAGCAGGAGGGGGGGUGAGGAUGGAGAAAGGAGGAGAAAGAAGAAGAAGAGAAAGAGAAAUGAUAUAAAUUUCACCCAAAGAUUGCAACUUUUGCCUAAAGAGUGUAAUUCUCAUUCAAAAGAGUGUAAUUUUCAUCUCAAAGAGUGCAACUUUUAUUUAAAUAGUAUAAUUUAAUCUUAUUUAAACAGUGUAAUUUUAUUGCAGUAUUAAAAUAAAAUUACACUGUUUACAAAUUUUUUGCAUUAUUUUAAAUAAAAGUUGCACUUUUUGAGACACAAAUUACACUCUUUGGGAUCAUAUUUACACUUUAAGGACUAAAUUACACUCUUUAGGUAAAAUUUAUACCAUUUUUCUUUUUCUUUUUCUUCCUCCUUUUUUCUCUCAUCCUCAUCCUCAUUCUCCUCCACCCCCAUAAAAAAG
rnacentral:lncRNA from 1 species